rnacentral:lncRNA from 1 species
CUUGCUGCCUGGAAGUGGAAGCAGGGCUCUCUCAUCUGUGUUGAGAAAGGCACUCAUCUGUGUAUCUAGCGAGACGGGAGAAAGUGGUCAUUUUAGAACAAGCCACCACAAGCCAGACAAAGGAAACCAAGAGAAUUUGCCAGUAGCAGAUAUACCCUCACUAGCAGAUAUACCCUAAAUGAAUGGCAAAGGAAGUCCUCUAUAACCAGAAGAAAAAGGAUUGAAAAAAGGAGUCUUAGAACACCAGGAAGAAAAGAAGAAUAAUGGAAAAAGCAAAAAUGGCAAGUUGAGCAGUGAAGUGGCAGCCUGCUGUGUUGGGGUGAUGGCCUCACUUUUGUCAUAUUAAUGUGAGAUACAUAAGCAGAGUCUCACUGUGUCGCCCAGGCUGGAGUGCAACGGC